rnacentral:rRNA from 1 species
AUUGCCCCAGUAACGGCGAGUGAAGCGGCAACAGCUCAAAUUUGAAAUCUGGCUUCGGCCCGAGUUGUAAUUUGUAGAGGAAGAUUUUGGUGAGGCACCUUCUGAGUCCCCUGGAACGGGGCGCCAUAGAGGGUGAGAGCCCCGUAUAGUUGGAUGCCUAGCCUGUGUAAAUCUCCUUCGACGAGUCGAGUAGUUUGGGAAUGCUGCUCUAAAUGGGAGGUAAAUUUCUUCUAAAGCUAAAUAUUGGCCAGAGACCGAUAGCGCACAAGUAGAGUGAUCGAAAGAUGAAAAGCACUUUGAAAAGAGGGUUAAACAGCACGUGAAAUUGUUGAAAGGGAAGCGCUUGUGACCAGACUUGCGCCGGGCGGAUCAUCCGGUGUUCUCACCGGUGCACUCCGCCCGGCUCAGGCCAGCAUCGGUUUUCGUGGGGGGAUAAAGGCCCGGGGAACGUAGCUCCUCCGGGAGUGUUAUAGCCCUGGGCGCAACGCCCUCGCGGGGACCGAGGUUCGCGCUUCUGCAAGGAUGCUGGCGUAAUGGUCAUCAGCGACCCGUCUUGAAACACGGACCAAGGAGUCAAGGUUUUGCGCGAGUGUUUGGGUGUAAAACCCGCACGCGUAAUGAAAGUGAACGUAGGUGAGAGCUUCGGCGCAUCAUCGACCGAUCCUGAUGUAUUCGGAUGGAUUUGAGUAGGAGCGUUAAGCCUUGGACCCGAAAGAUGGUGAACUAUGCUUGGAUAGGGUGAAGCCAGAGGAAACUCUGGUGGAGGCUCGCAGCGGUUCUGACGUGCAAAUCGAUCGUCAAAUCUGAGCAUGGGGGCGAAAGACUAAUCGAACC